AGAGUUUGAUCAUGGCUCAGGAUGAACGCUGGCGGUAUGCUUAACACAUGCAAGUCGAACGGAGUACUUCGGUACUUAGUGGCGGACGGGUGAGUAACGCGUGAGAAUCUGCCUUCAGGUUCGGGACAACCAUUGGAAACGGUGGCUAAUACCGAAUGUGCAGAGAUGUGAAAUAUUAAUAGCCUGAAGAUGAGCUCGCGUCUGAUUAGCUAGUAGGUGUGGUAAUAGCGCACCUAGGCGACGAUCAGUAGCUGGUCUGAGAGGAUGAUCAGCCACACUGGGACUGAGACACGGCCCAGACUCCUACGGGAGGCAGCAGUGGGGAAUUUUCCGCAAUGGGCGAAAGCCUGACGGAGCAAUACCGCGUGAGGGAGGAAGGCUCUUGGGUUGUAAACCUCUUUUCUCAGGGAAGAAAAAAAUGACGGUACCUGAGGAAUAAGCAUCGGCUAACUCCGUGCCAGCAGCCGCGGUAAUACGGAGGAUGCAAGCGUUAUCCGGAAUGAUUGGGCGUAAAGCGUCCGCAGGUGGCGAUGUAAGUCUGCUGUUAAAUAGUGAGGCUCAACCUCAUAAAGGCAGUGGAAACUACAUUGCUAGAGUGCGUUCGGGGCAGAGGGAAUUCCUGGUGUAGCGGUGAAAUGCGUAGAGAUCAGGAAGAACACCGGUGGCGAAAGCGCUCUGCUAGGCCGCAACUGACACUGAGGGACGAAAGCUAGGGGAGCGAAUGGGAUUAGAUACCCUAGUAGUCC
rnacentral:rRNA from 1 species